rnacentral:rRNA from 17 species
AAUAAGCGUACACGGUGGAUGCCUUGGCAGCCAGAGGCGAUGAAGGACGUAGUAGCCUGCGAUAAGCUUCGGGGAGUCGGCAAACAGACUUUGAUCCGGAGAUUUCCGAAUGGGGAAACCCACCUGUCAUAAGGCAGGUAUCACAUACUGAAUACAUAGGUAUGUGAGGCGAACGCGGGGAACUGAAACAUCUAAGUACC